rnacentral:pre_miRNA from 1 species
UAAUAAUUUGGUUUGACUUUGCACUGCUAGCGGUGGCACUGCCGCACUGCCCGGUCAGUGUAAGCUCAUUACACUGUCCGGGCAGUGCGGCCGUGCACUGCUAGCAGUGUAAACUCAAAUCAUAUCAUUAC